rnacentral:ncRNA from 1 species
GCAGAGUAAGAACAUGUGCGUUAAGUGCUGACCGGACGGGGAGUUGCCGGUCGGACGAAAAGGCUUCGGCGUGGCCGGGGUACUUGCGGUACAGGUUCUGCAUCCCGCUGC